rnacentral:rRNA from 1 species
CCCUUAGAUGUUCUGGGCCGCACGCGCGCUACACUGACGAAUGCAACGAGCUUAUAACCUUGGCCGAAAGGUUUGGGUAAUCUCCAAAUUUCGUCGUGAUGGGGAUAGAUUAUUGCAAUUAUUAAUCUUCAACGAGGAAUGCCUAGUAAGCGCAAGUCAUCAGCUUGCGUUGAUUACGUCCCUGCCCUUUGUACACACCGCCCGUCGCUCCUACCGAUUGAAUGGUCCGGUGAAGCGUUCGGACCGUGGCCUUUGGACGGUUCGCCGUCUGUUGGCUGCGGGAAGUUCGUUAAACCUUAUCAUUUAGAGGAAGGAGAANUCGUAACA